UACGUAGGAGGCAAGCGUUGUCCGGAAUACUGGGCGUAAAGCGCGUGUAGGUGGUGGGACAAGUCUGCUGUGAAAGCGCCUGGCUUAACCGGGCGAGGUCGGCGGAAACUGUCCGACUCGAGGACGGUAGAGGGGGGUGGAAUUCCCGGUGUAGUGGUGAAAUGCGUAGAGAUCGGGAGGAACACCUGUGGCGAAGGCGGCCCCCUGGACCGGCCCUGACACUGAGACGCGAAGGCGUGGGGAGCGAACGGG
rnacentral:rRNA from 1 species